AGUAAGUCAUAAGUUACAAAUACAUACUCCUAUCUUAUUAAUUCCAAAUACCAAUCUUGUUAUUAAUUCCAAAUACCACUCUAAUAAUUGUAAAGAAAAGUACAUCAAAUAUUCCAAAAGAUAAAUACCAACAUAACUUCAAACCACACCAGAACUAAAAUUAAAGGAAGGCUAUAAUAAUUUGAUGAAAAUGAGUUAACCAGUGUUGAUAUGAACACCAAUGGCAAUAAGAAAGAUUGUAAUGAGUCCAAAAAAGAUGAUUGUAUGAACCAAAAUAGAUACACCACUAGUAUGCAUGUUCCCAAACUCCACCACUCUGUUCCUUCCUGGUACUUGAAACAACAAGCCUGGACUUAGCAACACAAACAACACCACUGCUAUCACCACUGGACCCCAAUCCGCCAUUAUACUACUGUAGUAGUUAUUUAAUUUAUUUUAUCAAAAACAAAAUUCAGAAAUUUCAACUAUGUGGUCGACGAAGAGAAAGCUGAAACUUAUCUGAACCGUGUGACUGACAAAGAGAGAGGCCAGAUCGACGAAGAGAGAGGUGAGACUGGAGAGUGAAACCGUUUGUGAGGCUGAUGAAGAGAUAGAUAUAAUUUCCAGAGAAUAACUCAGUUUGACGAAGAGAUCAAUGUAACCCUAAUUUUGGUAUGGGCCUAAGAUUAUUUGUUCUUAACUUAUACCUGCCCGCGGGCUGACCGCGACCGCCCUACGCCCGUCCCAUUUUUUUUGUGGGGCGGGGCGAGGCGAACAUACAUAAAUACGCGGGUACAAAAUCUAGGCUCGGCCCGCCAAAAGUGACUGGUAAAACGGGCAUGACCCAUUUUGCCACCCCUACUUUGAAGGCUUUUCUACUGGUUUGCUUAAUUCUGUAUGUUUUAUUGGACUGUUUUCGUUGUUCUUAUUAGUGGCCGUUUUCUUCACAAAUUGAGGUUGUUUAAUGUGAUUAUUUGUAAUUAUAACUAAAUUGUAUGACAUAAGCUAUGAUUUUCAAACGGUUAUGAAAGAUUAUGUUUGAUCAUUUAAUUAUACUUUUGAAGUACUAGCAAAAACUUAACUUGCUUUUGUUAUGCCAUUUCAAAAUUGUUUCAUAAUUAAUUCAAUGAAUUCUUAGAAAGUUGCAUUAAGUUAAAAUCAACAAUCUCUUUGUUAAUUAGAAUUAUUGUGUCUUUUGAGUAUUAUUUUAACACUGCAAGUGUUUGGUUUUGUUAAGUAGUACUCCCUCCCUUUCUUUUGUCAAAAUUUAGCUUUUUUUAUUAUAGGUAAAUAUUUAAAAAAUGACACUUCAAAAGAAAUGUAAUAAUAGAGAAAUUUUCAAAUUAUGUUUUUUAAGGCUAUUUUAGAUUAGAGUUGAGUACCUCAGUCUCCCAAUAAGUCUUGUCCCAAUAAGUGUGAUUUAGUUUUUAAGUCAAAUGGCAAGAGUUUCUAUAAAUUAGUUUGAAAGGGGUUGACCGUUGAGUCUUAUAUGUAGUCAGGUAUGUCCAAAGUGCAUUGUUGAGUUUACAGAACCAUUCCUUCAAGGAGAUGGAGACUGUAUUCUCUAAAGUAGUUUUUUCUAUGUAUUGUAGAUCUUACUUGGCCACUAAGCAGAAUCUCAAAUUGUAUAGCAAUGAAAUGCAAUCCCUCAUCACUAAUCACUAGUUCAGGAUCCCCAAACCUUGGGAUUAUUAAUUUUUGAGUAUUUAUAUCACAAUUCGCAUAUCAUUUGGUAUAUAGUUUGGCAGAGGUCUCAUACAAUCAACUCUAGACAUCUAAAUUUCAGACUAUAAGAAUGUUGUUUAGAGGAGUUUUGUACUUUCUUGAAAUGUUCAAUGCGUGUUGCAUUAUAAAGGCGGGCAUUCUGUGCCAGUUUGUCUGUUUUUUAAUUGCGCUAAUGGGUGAAAAUAUUAACAAUGUCUGUUUUUAUAAAGCAACAUACAAUUGUCCCCUUUUUGGGUCUAUGUUUAGGAAUAACAUUAGAGGAGCCACUAUUUUUAUGUUUAAAGCAAUAACAUAACAAUUGUGUGUAAGUAUUCCUAUAACAAUUGUGUGUAUGUAUUCUUGUUGAUAUAGAUUAUGUGUAUCACCUCAACCUUAUGUGUAUCACCUUCACCUCAUCAAAAGAUAACAAAAUAUGUUCAUUUACGAACAAUGCCGCUAGAGCACAAAUCCAUCUUGCAUCAACAUAUUGUUGAAUCUCAUCCAUACUUGUACCUCUGUGAACCUCCAUUGCAACUUGAUCAAGACCUUUGUAAACACAUUUAUACAAAUAUUUAAUACUUUUGAUGAUGAUGCUGCAAAUCUCAACAUAUAUAAAUCCAAGACAUAUAAUUUUUAACAAAUCAGGUCGAUCUUGUGGGGUUUUAUGGAGGCCUAGUUUGGAAGUUAUCUCAAUCCAAGAAUGAUUGCAUGUCAUUGUAAGGAAUACGUACGGUUUACCCUUGUUAAGAAUAAUGGCCAUACCAUCUUGGUAUGUCUGUGUCAUAUCUCGCUUACUGCCAAUAAAUGAUGAUGACGGUAUUGUUCUUUGUUAGACAUUAUCUAUAGAAAUAUAUGAAAGUAUAAAAAUUAAAUGUGUGGAUAGUGGUAUAAACAUAAAGUCAUGUCAAAAUUCCUCUUAUAAAGCACAUCACCAUUGAGGUAGAAAUUGCCAGAUAGUCUCCUCAAAGUCUUCUUAUCUUUAACAGAUGCCCCAGGCGGGUAAAUUUGACUUUGGAGAAAGCACUUGAUAUCAAAAUACUAUGGCUUAUCAUCUUUCACUUCUUCAACUGCAAAUACAUGAGCUGGUCUAUUCAAGCGCAUCACGGUAAUAUUGGGGACUUCAUUCCAAUAUUUCACCACAAUCAUCGAAGCAAGCGUAGCAAGAGCAUCUUCCAUCCGAUUCUCAUCUCGAGGAAUAUGAUGGAAGUCAACCUCAGUAAAGAAAGUUGAAAUCCUCCUCGCAUAAUCUCUAUAUAGGAUGAGGCCAGGCUGAUUCGUCUCCCAUUCACCCUUAAUCUGAUUAACAACAAGGGCCUAAUCACCAUAAACAUCAAGAUGUUUGAUCCUAAGAUCAAUACAUUCUUCCAAUCCCAUAAUACAGGCCUCAUACUCUGCCAUAUUAUUUGUGCAUUUGAAAGUUAGCCUUGCUGUAAAAGGAAAAUGUGUGCCCCGAGGAGUAAUAAUCACUGCCCCAAUACCGUUUCCAUACUGAUUAACAGCGCCAUCGGGAACCAGACUCUGAUCCUUCAUCGAGCGUAGGCUCAUCGAAAUCUUUCAUCUUCAAAUAUAGAAUCUCCUCAUCAGGGAAGUCGUAAUGAACAGAUUGAUAAUCCUCAAUUGGUUGAUGUGCCAAGUGGCCAGCCAAGAUACUACCUUUAAUAACUUUUUGAGCUCGUUACUCAAUAUCAUACUCAGACAACAACAUCUGCCAACGGGAAAUCCUCCCAGUUAAAGCAGGCUUCUCAAAGAUAUACUUGAUUGGAUCCAUUUUGGAUAUCAACCAAGUUGUAUGAUUUAACAUAUACUAGCGUAAACGCUUAGCAUCCCAAGCCAAAACACAUCAUGUCUUCUCAAGAAUUGAGUACCGAGACUCACAAUCAGUGAACUUCUUACUCAAGUAGUAAAUAACAUAUUCUUUCUUCCCUGAUUCAUCUUGCUGACCCAAUACACAACCCAUAGAGUCAUCAAGCACGGUCAAGUACAUGAUCAAUGGUCUCCCUUCAACAGGCGGGGACAGAAUUGGAGGCUCAGACAGAUACUCUUUGAUACUAUCAAAGGCCUUUUGGAAAUCCUCGGUCCAAUCAUGACGCUGAUCUUUCCGGAGGAGCUUGAAUAGAGGCGCACAUGUGGCAAUCAUGUGGGAUAUAAAUUUGGAAAUAUAAUUCAUGCGGCCAAGAAAAUCUCGGACUUGCUUCUCAAUUUUGGGCGCAUGCAUCUCUUGUAUUGCUUUGACCUUGGCAGGAUCAACUUCAAUACCUCUUUCACUGACAAUAAAGCCCAACAACUUGCCGGAACGAACUCCAAAUGUACACUUGUUCGGAUUCAAGCGGAGUUUGUACUUCCUCAAACGCUAAAAAAGCUUUAACAAGUGCUCUACAUGUUCAACUUCCGUUCUCGACUUUACAAUCAUAUCAUCAACAUAUACCUCGAUCUCCUUGUGCAUCAUAUCAUGAAACAAGGUAGUCAUAGCUCAUUGAUACGUGGCUCCAGAGUUCUUCAAACCGAAGGGCAUCACUCGAUAAUAGAAUGUUCCCCAAGGUGUGAUGAAUAUUGUCUUCUCCAUAUCCUCGGGUGCCAUUUUAAUCUGGUUAUAACCGGAAAAUCCGUCCAUAAAUGAGAAGACAUUGAAUUUAGCUGUAUUAUCUACCAACAUAUUAAUGUGUGGUAGAGGAAAAUCAUCUUUCGGACUAGCUUUAUUCAAGUCUCGAUAGUCAACACACAUUCAGACUUUUCCAUCUUUCUUAGGAACGGGCACAAUAUUGGCCACCCAUUGAGUAUAUGUAGAAGUCACCAGAAACCCCGCAUCAAUUUGCUUAUGAACUUCUUCUUUAAUCUUCACUACCAUAUCAGGAUGAGUUCUUCUGAGCUUUUGCUUCACAGGCACGCACUCAGGCUUCAAAGGAAGGAAAUGUUGCACGAUAUUAGUAUCUAGACCAGGCAUGUCUUCAUACGACCAGGUAAAGACGUCGACAUAUUCUCGUAGCAACUCAAUCAACCCCUUCUUGACAGGCUCUUCCAGGAGUGCCCCAAUCUUCACUUCGCAAACACAGUCUUCAGACCCCAAGUUGACUGUUUCCAGAUUCUCAAGAUGUGGCUGAAUGAUCUUCUCCUCGUGCUCAAGCAGACGGGUAAUCUCAUCAGGAAUCUCUUCAACAUCAUCUUCUUCGGCCUCAAAUAACCAGAUUCUCAAGAUGUGGCUGAAUGAUCUUCUCCUCGUGCUCAAGCAGACGGGUAAUCUCAUCAGGAAUCUCUUCAACAUCAUCUUCUUCGGCCUCAAAUACAGGGAACUCAAAGUUGGGAGAUGGCGCUGGAUCAUUAUGUUCAAUGGGUUUGAUCAACCUGCAUAAUGAUUUUGAGUAUAAAAGAGGUUUCAGAAUUCAAGCAACGCAAAUCAUUAUGUAGAUGAAAAGAUUGAUUUUAUUCUUUUUUUUAGGGUUUUUUGGUGAUCACCAAUUUCAUGCAAAAAGCAAAAAGGGAAAAUAAUUUGGAAAAACAAACAUUUAACAUGUAAUUUUUGAAUGAAUAUCAUUGUAUUAAUAUGCCAACAAUGUCAUCACUUCUCCUUUUGGCAUGGGAGAAGGGUUUUUAAACAAAAUGAACAUAUUACAUAGACUUGUGGAUAACUGUUGGAACAUCAACAACGACCCAAUUAUUGCAGAUUCCACCAGGUAUGACGAAGUUGCCCAGGUCUUCCUCUUCAUCAUCUUCAACAAUAGCAGCAACUUCCUGAUCUUCAACAGUGUGGAUAAAACCACCACUCUGGAAUAGCCCACGCUCAUUGGAAAUACCUGAAGAAUACCUUAUGCCAGCUCGGGAUUUAUUAUCUUCCAAUUUGAUCAUUUGCCCCAAACCAGUAGUUGCACCAUGCUCAAUGGCCAACUUAGCAUCAUUGUAGGAAGCAAAUGAAGAAGGUCAUUUCCUUGAAGGCUCACCAAUAGAUAAGGCUUGGAACGGAGUCCCAACCUCAUCCUCAGCGUCAAUAUAGGAAAAGGAAGAUAAAUGGUUAACCAAGAGAGCCUUCUCUCCCCCUAUCACCACCAACAUCUUGUUUUUAACAAAUUUCAACUUUUGGUGUAGGGUGGAUGUCACGGCUCCUGCCUCGUGAAUCCAUGGUCUGCAAAGCAAACAGCUGUAUGAUGGAUGAAUAUCCAUGACCUGGAAAGUGAUAUGGAAAUCACUAGGUCCAAUCUUGAUCGGGAGUUCUACUUCACCGAUCACAGUUUUCCUCGGUCCAUCAAAAGCUUUCACUACCACUCCACUCUGCCUCAUGGGAGGCCCCUGGUAAGAAAGUUUGGCUAGAGUGGAUUUUGGCAACACAUUAAGCGAUGAUCCUGUGUCCACCAACCCAUUGGAUAAGGCAUCAUCCUUGUAGUUCAUAGAAAUGUGUAAGGCCAAAUUGUGGUCUUUUCCCUCCUCGGGAAGAUCAGCAUCACAAAAGCUCAAAUUGUUACAAGCAGUUAUGUUUGCAACAAUGCUAUCAAACUGUCCAAUAGUGACAUCAUGGUCCACGUAUGCCACGUCCAACACCCUCUGUAAAGCUUCGCGGUGGGGCUCAGAAUUCAUCAACAAAGAUACCACAUAUAUAUUUGAUGGAGUUUGUAGCAGCUGAUCAACAACGUUGUAUUCGCUCCUCUUGAUGAGCCUCAGCAUCUCAUCACAAUCCUCUUUCAAAAUUCCAUGGUGGCUAACCAGGACAGGAGCUUUAACAGUUCUAUCAACAACAGGGUUAACACCCUUCAUAAUAGGUGCCGGAUUAGAAGAAGAAGUCCCCACGGGACCGACAGGAUUAACAACAGCAGUUCUUCUCACGACAUCUUCGUGGGGUUUCGGCUGUCCCGAGAAAACACGACCACUACGGGUCACACCACUAACAUCUGAGAUACUCACAACAGAGGUGGAGGGGAACAACACCUCCUUUCCAUCUUCUAACAUAACUGCAUUGUACCUGUAAGGAACAACUUUGUCAGAUGAAUACGGGACAGGACCCGCUGACUUGAUUACAAGAGAUGGAGAAACUUUCUUCUUGUUGCCAUCAUAUUUGACAACAACAUGCUCUGGUAUUCUGAAAACAGGAGAGAUAACAUCAACUUCGUCCUCAUUACGAUUCUGAAGUAUCUCGAUCAUUCCCUGAUCCAACAUCUCUUGGAUGUCCUUCCUUACUUGUCGGCAUCCUCUUUCAUUGAUAGUGCACACCUGGAACCUAUCAUGGUCAUGCUCAUAAUGACUGUAUCCACACAACAGUCUGUGCAUCUCGACCAAAGAUUUCCUGAUAUCAUUGACAUAUAGGACUUUAUAUUUGCCAGGACAACCUUGGACCAUAUUCACAACAGCUUUCCCAUGCUCGGGCAAUGGGUUCUUCUUGACAUUAGGACCUACGUCCUCGAAAAACAAAAUCCCACUUCUAACAAGGUCUUGCACCUUGGUCUUCAGGGGAUAGCAAUUCUCCAAUCCCAUGCUCGGGCAAUGGGUUCUUCUUGACAUUAGGACCUACGUCCUCGAAAAACAAAAUCCCACUUCUAACAAGGUCUUGCACCUUGGUCUUCAGGGGAUAGCAAUUCUCCACAUCAUGUCCGGGGGCACCGGAAUGAUAUACACAAUGUACUUCUAGCUUAUACCACCACUGAGGGUUGGUCGGUAUAGCGGGAGGGUCUCGUGGAGUAAUUAACUUCCUAUCAAUCAGAGAUGGAUAGAGUUCAGCGUAUGACAUUGGAAUCGGAAAAAAGUGACCCUCUUCCUCUCAUAGCUGGUGCUGGUGUUAUUGUUGUUUCGAGGCUGGUAGGCCUGCUGUUGCUGACGAUGCUGUUGUUGAUACUGUUGAUGUUGUUGUUGUUGUUGUUGAUGCACUUCUCUAAAGGCAGGUGCUAUAUGAGCCACCUGGUGCUGGUUAACGACAGGACGCACGUUCUUCCUCUUCACAGAGGGUUUUCUUUUGAUAUGGGAAGACACAACAUGUGCCUCUCCCUCUUUCUUCUUCGCAAAGCUCCCAUACCUCUUUGCUGAAGAGCCUUUAUCUCUAGUUAGACGUCCUUCACGGACCCCUUCUUCUAGCCUCAUUCCCAUAUUCACCAUUUCGGUGAAGUCCGAGGGAGCACUAGCAAUCAUCCUUUCAUAGUAGAAAGAACUCAAAGUCUUCAAAAAGAUCUUUGUCAUUUCUUUCUCUUCAAGGGGUGGCACUAUCUGAGCUGCCAACUCACGCCACCUUUGGACGUACUCUUUGAAGGUUUCCUUCUCUUUCUGGGACAACGCCCUUAGCCGGUCCCUAUCAGGAGCCAUAUCCAUAUUGUACUUGUAUUGCUUGACGAAGGCUUUGCCAAGAUCGUUGAAGGAGCGGAUGUUCGCGAUGUCCAGACCCAUGUACCACCGGAGAGCAGCACCAGACAGGCUGUCCUGGAAGUAGUGGAUAAGAAGUUGGUCAUUCUCAGUUUGCGUUGACAUCUUGCGAGCAUACAUCACAAGAUGGAUGAGAGGGCAUGUGUUUCCCUUGUACUUCUCAAAGUCAGGUACUUUGAACUUUACAGGGAUCUUCACGUUGGGCACAAGGCACAACUCAGCAGCACUCUUACCGAAAAGGUCUUUACCCCUCAGAGUCUUCAGUUCCUUUCACAACUCAAGGAAUUGGUCUUUCAUUUCAUCCAUCUUCUCAUAAACAUCUGGGCCCUCAAAUGGCUCAGAAUGAUAGACGGUGUCUUCUACCCUUGGUAAAGUGUGCACAAUGGGAGGUGGCACAGAAAGGACCGGGCUAGAUGCCGGCAGAGAAGCGAGAGUUGGAGCAAAACCCUCGGGUACAAAAUUGGCUGGCAUGGUAGGAGCGAAAUUGGCUGUUGCAGCAGGCACAGUUGAGGAAGCUACCUCAGAUAUAACCGUCCUCGCGGGAGGAGUUGCAGGAGUUGGAGAAGAUCGGCUCUGAGCAUCCAGCACUGACUCCAUCAUGGCAGUCAGCCUAGGAAUCUCGUCCUUCGGCUCUCUGUUCUCUUUCUCUAGAUGCUCCAUCAGUCUUGGAAGAUUGGCUACUGUGUUAUACCGGUGUGUCAGCUUGUCUUCAAAAUAAAUGAAGAGCAAAGAGUUAGACCACUGAUCAGAGCUGAACAAAACCUGCUUAUGCAUAUGAUGCAUACAAUGUUUGUGCAUAUGAUUUGUUUUUAUUUGAGGAACUUUAUAGAGAUCUAUUUGUAAAUAUUUGAAAAUAUUAAUCCCUUAAGACACACAUGGAAUACUCAUAAUAAUAAUAUUUGGAAAACAUUUUACACCAAAGAAGUAGUACAAUUUUGGUAACCAAAUACAAUACAAGAGGAAAGGAGAACAAACAUCCUAUGGAGCCCUAGAAACAAUCAUCCAAAGCUCUCGAGAUCGGAAAAUAAGCUGCACGAAGCCUUUUCACCUCUCUCUCAUAAGCUGCCUCCAUAUCAGCCUUCUCCUUGGCGAGUCGAUCAUACUUCCUCUUCCAAAACUUGGAUGACUGAGGAAGAAGAGAAGUAACCACAUCAUCAGGCUCAUCAAUAACCUGAUGCUCCAGAAAUUCUAUCACAGCAUCCUUAUCUCUGAGUUGCUGAAGUAACUCUUCUCGCUCAUGAACCCAAGCACGCGAACGGUCUUCAUCUCUCAACUCCUCUACUCCUUGGCUAGGGAGGGUUGAAGGCCCAACCAUAACCAUAGGGGUAGGUCUCGGAUAGUCAUAUGGCAUGCGGUACUCAAGCGCUCUCUUCCUCACCCAAGAGGUGUAGGGUUCCAAAGCAAUACAAUUCUUCGGACCAAGCUCUUUCCUUCCCUUCCUAUGAACUUUGCGCCAGGCACGGACCAUUCUGCCCUUCAAGUUCUGGGGAUCUUUACCCUCUUGAAAGAACACACCUUCCAAUAAAAUGUUGUUAGGUUUAUCCUUUAAGGGGAACCCAAGCUGACGGCGAGCCAAAAUAGGGUUGUAGUUAAUUCCACCACAUGUACCAAGAAGAGGAACAUUGGAGAAUUCACCACAAGAAUCAAUAAUCUGGAGAUUAUCAUACACAUGGUUAUACCAAGACAUAUCAUCAUUAGUGAGAGACAUAAGUCUCGUAGACCACUGUAGACAUCCCUUGUUCUCUUUGAAGGCAAGCGUCUGAGGCAAGUGCGAAAUAAAGCACUUGUACAACAGAGGCAAAUAACACACAAUGGUACCACCACCCUUUGCAUUUCUCAUAUGCAAAGAGAAAUAAGUGUCACCCAACAGAGUCAGAACGGGAUUAAGAGUAGAGAAAAUCCUAAUAGCGUUCAUAUCCACAAAAUUGUCGAUGUUGCGGAAUAACACUAGCCCAUAGAUGAGAAGUACAAAUAUGGCUUCAAAGGUGUCCUCACUCAUGGCCUUCCCAAACAAAUUAGCUUGGGCAAUGAGAAAAUCAGAUGGGAGACCUUGAAUUCCACCUUUGGUAGUCAUAUGAGCACCAAUAUCAGAUACAUCUAUAUGAAGCAGAUCAACAAUCUCUUGGGAAGAAGGAACCCUCUCCAAGCCACUGAGCGACAACUGAUCUAGAAUAGGUAUACCCACAAUAUAGACAUACUCCUCAAGUGUAGGCAAAGCUGGAAAUCCGGGAAAGUGAAGCAACGAUACAAAGGAUCAUAGAACUGCACCAACACACUCAUCAGACCUUCAUCCACCUGAGUAGCAAGAAUAGACAGAAGCUUCCCAUGACGAGCUUUGAAUUCCAAGGGAUCUAAUAUAUAAGACGUCAAACUCCUUAACUCUUUCAAGUCGGGUUGUCUGAAACUGUACUUCUUCGUAUUCCUUCUUUGCUUAUCCAUGUCUGAAAAUUUGCAAAUAGACCUCUUAAGUUCCUUGAAAAUUUUCUCAUCGUUGAUGAUAUGAAUGCAAAUGAAUGCAUGGAUGCAACAAUCACACUCAAGGAUCAAGCAAGUCACACCAUACAAAGGUCACGGGAUGGCUCAAGUUAUCCUCAAUAUCAAUCAUCCAUUUUGGUGGAUUAUGGUUUACACCUUAUCAACACCCAAGUUCCAUUGAUAUUGAGGAUAUACGAGAAUGGAUCAACCGCGAAUCAAGGGUUUGUUGUAAGUCACGAACAUGGAGUCUCGGUUAAGAACCACCCAAAGGGAGUGUACUAUGGUUAAACCUGAUGAUCAUGUUCUAAAAGAGGCUCCCAUAGUCAUCAUCCCAUCUUUUGGAUAUUAUCGGAUAAAACGACUACUCGUAUUCCAAAAAUAUUCUCAAGAGAGACUCUUAUGAGUGUAGUAUCGCGUAACAAUCGUAUCAAAUCUUACACUUGAACGACCUUCGCACUAUCCUAAAAUAGGCCAAGAUGGGCUAGGUAAUCUAAGUCCCUUGGUUUCUAAGGUUUAUAUGGAAAGAGUAAUGCCUAACACGACUACUCGUGUGACAUUAAUUUGAUCCCAACAAGACCUCCACCAAGUGAAUGGGCUUGUAAGUCAACUUGCUAAGGAAUAACUCCACACAAGUCAACAAGACUAUGCCAUUCUCCUAUCAUAAGUGCACUCGAGUUCGGGUAAAGAACUCAUCUCACAAGAAACCACCAAGCAUACAAGCAAGUAAUAUAUCAAGCAAUUCAUACAUUACAAUCAAUACAAUCAUCCCAAAUUUGCACAAAAAUAUGUCACAAAUAAAGAUAAACAUACAACACAUACAAGUAAAAAGUAGGCUAAACCCACUAGGAAGCAACAUAUUCCCCAGCAGAGUCGCCACUUUUCUGUAGCGGGGCAUUCAUUACCUUUAGAUUUAUUGAUUAAAUCAAAAGUAAACAUACAAUUCGAGUCACCACCAUUUAUCCAAAGAAAAGGUUAGAAAGUGAACAAAAACCAAGUAAGAAAUUUUAUCAAAUCAAAAACUAAUAAAAAUGUCAGAGAUCUGGGUAAGGGGGUUGGUUAUGAAAUGGGAAGGUUUUAAGCACCCAAAACAUCCUUAGUACUCUAAGGGAUCCCUUUUUGCAAAUGUGCGUUGUAGGUUGGUAUUUGUGAAAAGAUUUGUGCAAACAAGAUUGGAGGGAUGAGAAGAGAAUAUACAUUAUAUUUACAAUUUUGUUGUUUGAAUGGAUGAACCCAUUGCCUACGUACCAUCACAAAGGUAGGAUCAAAACCUCGUAGUUCAGGGUAAAAAUCUCAAAAGAUUGGUGAAUUGAUUUGAUCAAAAGCCUUAAGGUCUUUUGUUAUCAAAGGGAGAAAACUCAACCUAAACCAAUUGAUUUGAUCAAAAGCCUUAAGGUCUUUUGUUAUCAAAGGGAGAAAACUCAACCUAAACCAACAAUCCACCAUGUGAGGAGAGCUUCAACAUACUAGUGAGGGGUUAACCCUAUAAUAAGUAUGGAGGACUUAUAGUCCAAUCACUAAGGAUAAGGUGAGGUUUACAUCAACCACUAUGAUAACUCAAACCUAUGGCUAAUAUUUAUGAAAAACGUUUUAACAAAGGUGGCCAUUGGAUCCACAAAAACAACUUGAAGUGAGUUGUAUUUACAAAUUAGAAGUAUUCACAAAAUUAAGUCAAAGUUGACUUAAGGUUCAUUCAUAAUGAGUAUUAAUGAAAAGAGUUUGAAAAAUCAAAGGCAUAAGGCCUAGGUUUCUAGUUUGAAAAUAAUGUCAAAGUUUGCACAAAAUGAGUUUGGCUUGGGUUAGAGUGGAGAGAAGAAGAGAAGGGCUAGCCCUAAAGCAUACAAAGAUGAGAGAAGAGAUAAAACCCUUGGAGUUCCUUUUCUUGAGAUCAUAAAGAUGAUUCAAGAUGCUCCUUUCCUUUGGACUUAGCAAGCAACAAGCAAUCAAAAUAAAUUUACAUUCAAGCUCCUAGGAUCUCUAAUUGGCUUGUCUCUAAUAACUUGGCUACUCAUGACAAUGGUACUUCUUACUAUCUCAAGAUGGAAUCUCUAUCACACAAGAACAAACAAUCAAAAAGUUCACAACACAAUAAGAGGAAUGAACAAAGAAUGAGUUUAGAUUAGGGGUCCUUUGAUGUCAACUUUAAGAUUUAGCAUUCUAAAGGCAUGAGGCCUAGUUGCUCUUCAACAAGUUUAGCAUUCUAAAGGCAUGAGGACUAGUUGCUCUUGAACUCCUUUAAGCAUAGGUAAGGUCCUAAUUCUAAGUCAUUUCUCCUUUUUGCAUUGGGUUCACACAAACAAAGAUAAAACAAACACAAAGCAAUAAUAUAUUUAUAUACAAUAAUGAGCUCAAAUGAGCAAAAGGAAAAUGACAUGAACAUAAAAUAUGAGCUCAAGUGAGCAAAGUAAAAAGCAAUAUGAAUAAAUGAGCAAGAAAUAAAGUACAUUAAAGUAAAUUGCAAGAAAUUAAAUGCUUGAAUUAAAGUUAGUAGUUAAUGGUUAUGCUAGUGUGUCAUAAGACAAUUUAGCGCUAUGUUAAGCAAUCGUAAGUGGACUAGUGUAGUAGUCACACCUAUCUGAGGUCGGUCAAUAAAACUAUAGGCAAAUAAACACAAGUUAGAGAUCAUGACUAGUAAGCCAAGAUCCCACAACUUGCCAUGCCAAAAGAAAAGAGGAAAGGCCUUGUAUGGAUUUUAGGUUUUUUGCUUGACCAAGAAGCAACCUAUCUUGGACACAAAGCAACUCACUUGAUCUUUGAUCAAGUUGAUUUUGAUUUGGAUAAAAGAAGGUUAAGCCUCUCAUAUGUCAAGACCAACCACAAAUCAUUAACUCAUUGGCAAAAAUAAAAAGAAGAAGAUGAAGAUGAAAUGAAAUGGAUAAAAGGAGAAUUCAAAUGAAGUAAUCAAAACACAAUGAUCAAAUCUAAAUCAAAUCAUCAUCAACCAAUGUAAAACAGAAGAGAAAUGAAUAUUAGAAGUCAACAAAGUCAAACAUAUUUUUUGGUAUUUUUGAAAUUAAAAUAAGUGCAAAAUUAAAAUGGACAAAAUAUGGUCAAACCUCAAAUUCAAUUCAAAUCAACUUCAACAAGUCCAAUUGAAUCAUCAUAGGUCUAACAUGGUCAAACAAGGUUUGACAAAUUUUCUCAACAAUUUUUGAAAACAGAAACUAUUUAAAAUCAAUUAAAAACAAUAAAAUAUAACACAAAUGAAUUAAAAUUUCAAAUCAAUUAAGAAAUUGAUGAAAAUAUUUUUCAUAGACUUAUCAUCAUCCAUAUGUGUUAAGAAAAUAUUUUUUGGAAUUUUUAGAUAUCAAAAAGUAUUUAAAAUGAAUUAAAAACUAUUAAAAACAAAAUAAUUCACAAAAAAUAUUAAAUGAAGUCACAAAAAUAAUUAAAAAUCAGAUUAUGAAACUAGAUUUUUCAAGAUUUUUUUAUAUUUAAAAUGAAUUAAAAACUAUUAAAAACAAAAUAAUUCACAAAAAAUAUUAAAUGAAGUCACAAAAAUAAUUAAAAAUCAGAUUAUGAAACUAGAUUUUUCAAGAUUUUUUUUGCCAUUGGUCUUAUAUUUUUGUGACUUCAAAUAAAAUAGUUAUGAAUUUUUGAAAAUAAAUGGAAUUAAAAGAAAACAAAACAGAAAAUAGAAAAUAGGAGAAAACCAGGAGCGCUGGAUUGGAUUCAUUAAAUGACGUGGCUGUAUCCAAAGGCUCAGAAGCGCGUUCCCACCAUGGUCUCAAGUCAAGCGCGAAACAUAAGCAUUUGAAAUAAGUCAACAAAACGCAUGUCUGAGAUUAGAACGUUUCCACAAGAUCUGAUGGACACAAGGCAUCCACGUGGGGAUGGUGGUGGAAACCAACAUCUUUUUCGGCCAGCAAACUGUUGGUGUAAGCCCUAGAGGCCAAUACUUUUGGUACUUGUAUCGAAUUAUUGAUUAAUAAUAAAAGGCUUUUUCUUUAUUACGUUUGUUUAAUAAAGUCCCUAGAAUAGCCAAUCUGUUUAAUGUAUAAAGUAUGACUUAAUCAUGAGAUCACAUUAAACAUAAGGACACUAUUCUUAAAGCAUCCGCAGUCGAGCUUUAUUGUGAAGUGGGAUACCAUUAAAGCAUUAAGACUAUUGUCGCACCUCGAAAAAAAUAGGGAUACGACUUCAAAGCGAAGCGCGAUCGCACGCUCGCAAUGAUGGACUGAACAGAGUCGCCACCGAACUUUAUUUAUUCCUAAAAAGGAAAGGGGAAAUAUCGUUAAACCCAGGGACAAAAGAAGGAUAAGAUAUGGUCAUUCGCAACCGAAUAUCAGGGUUCGGAGUGAUUCAACGCAGGGGAAGGUAUAGCACCCCUCCACGUCCGUUUGUACUCAACGGGAACCAUUAGGUCAGUUGUGUGCGUUAAUGUUAGUUUUGAAAUGUUAAGGCUUUUCGAAUUAUUAGGUGGGGAAAGAAAGAAUAAAAGAAGGAAAUGUUUUUGGAUUUUGACGAUGGAGGACUAAACCUAAGUUUUUUAUUAGUGGGCCUGACAAGAUUUAAAAUCAACUGCUCCUACGUAUCUCAAAAGAGAAAUCAAGGCGUUACGUAGUUCUGGGUAGAAAAAAUACUUUGUUUGUUGGACGAUUAAUAGCGAAAGCUAUACUGUAUUAAUCGACAAAACAUUGUUUUACCCAAAACAGAUGAGGAGUGGACGCAUACCACACAUCGAAACGAGAUUUAUAUAAAUCUACAUUCGGAAAAAGCGUCAUUUAUCUCUACUCACAAUCGUGGCCGAAAAUUGUUUAUAUCACUUAAGACACAUAUAUCUUUCAUCUUUAUGAAAAGGUCUCUUUGAUUGGUCCGCACUCCGGUGGCGAAAAAAAGAGGUUUUUGAUUGGUGUUGGAUGUAUAUUUGAAUGAUGGCGAGAACUUGGAUGAGCGAGAUUAUACAUUGCUCGAAUCCUAGCCUCAGGAGUGCAUGGUAUACACCAUGUUCCAUUUCCAUCUUUUUGAAAAGAGUUAAAGAUAGGAUUUAAUAUUUUUGGAUUUUUGUGACUCCUGCUGGGAGAAAUGAACGCUGAAUGGUAUAACUUUUGAACCUGCUCUGAAGAUUUUUUCUCUGUUUGUUCAAAUACCAUUCAGGUGCAUGUAUGAACCGCUGUUGUUGAACCUUAUUCCGGUGUCAGGUCAUACAUGAACCUGUUCGAAUAGAGUUUUUUCUCCAUGAUCUAUUCCCCAGGCGUUGUCAGGUCAAUAUGUGGAAACUGGUUGUAGCCAUCUUUUCCUUGUUCGGGUAGUAAAGUCAUAUGUGAACUUACUACCGAAACUCUUGUAAAUCCAGUAUCGAUAUAAAUCAAAUCUCAAUUUUGAUACUGCCCCAGUGUGUGCCUGAUUCUCCGCAGCAGGACUGUCUCGCCAGCCAGAGUCUCCAUCUGUCGGCACCUCGAAAAAAUAGGGAUACGUACUUCAAAGCGAAGCGCGAUCGCCACGCUUCCGCAAAUGAUGGACUGAAUCAGAAGUCGCCACGAACUUUAUUUAUUCUAAAAAGGAAAGGGGAAAUAUCGAUAAAACCCAGGACAAAAGAAAGGAUAGGAUAUGCGUCAUCGCAACAAUAUGCAGGGUUCGGGAGUCGAUUUACGCAAGGGGAAGGUAUUAGCACCGCCUCACGUCCGUUUGUUGCUCAACGGGAACCAUUAGGUCAGUUGUGUGCGUUAAUGUUAGUUUUGAAAUGUUAGGCUUUUUCGAAUUAAUUAGGUGGAAAGAAAGAAUAAAUCAGAAAGGAAAAUGGUUUUUGGAUUUUUGACGAAGGACUAAACCUCAGUUUUUUAUUAGUGGGCCUGACAAGAUUUUACAAAUCCUGCUCUAACGUAUCUCAAAAGAGAAAUCACCAGUGCUUACGUAGUUCUGGGUAGAAAAUGUUGUUUGUUUGGUCGCAUUAUAGCGAAAGCUAUACUGUAUUAAUCGAUAUAAACAUUGUUUUACCCAAAACAGAUGAGGGAGGGAGCAUACUCGGUACACAUCGAACGGAUUUAUAAAUCUACAUCGCAAAAGCGUCAUUUAUCUCUCCUCAACACAUCGUGGCCGAAACAUGUUUUAUAUCACUUUAAGACAAAUAUAAUCUUUCAUUUAUGAAAAGGUUCUUUGAAUUGGCGCACGGCGGCGAAAAAAGAGUUUGAUUGGUUGGAUGUAUUUUGAAUGAUGGCGAGAACUUGGAUUGAGCGAAGAUAUACAUCUCGAAAUCCUAGCUCAGGAGUGCAUGGUAUACACCAAUGUUUCGCAUUUCCAUCUUUAUUGAAGAGUUAGAUAGGAAUAAGUAUUUUGGAUUUUGAUUGAGAAAGGGUUUGCAGAAAACCGCAUUGACAAAUAUUUAGACGAUGGCGAGCCGUUAAGAAUUGGCGAGGCAUACGUCUCGAAUCUUAACCCUCAGGAGUGCAUGGUAUACACCUGGUUCCAUUUCCAACUUUAUUGGAAAAAGUGUUUAAUAAGAAAUUAUGAUCUUGAGUUUUGUUGUGAGAGAGUAGACUUGACCUAGAAUCAAUUAUUGAUGGAGUUUGAGAAUUUUGAAUGAGUGUCUCGAGAGACAAAGUGGAUAAUUUUGGAAUGAUUGGCGAGAGCUAGGCAUUUGGCGAGAUAUACAUCUCGAAUCCAUAGUCUCAGGAGUGCGUGGUAUACACCAACGUAUCACUUCCAUCUUUAUUGAAAAGGUCGUUAAUUAUGAAUUAAAUAUUUUUUUGAGUUUUAUUAUAAAAAAUGCUUUGACCGUUGGAUCAAGCUUUGACUGAGGAGUUUGAAAGAAAUGGAGUAGAAGGAGGAAUGAGUUGAUUUGUUUUGUUGCGAAAAUCCACUCGACGUUUGGAUCGAGUCAUAUUUUUUUGGUAUUUUCCUAGAAAUGGUGAUUUUAAUCUUGUGUUAGUAUCUAGCUAAAUAGUCAAAGCAAUAAAGAAUGAAAUAGUACAAGAUUAUUACACAUCGGAGGAGUGGGUACAUUUUUGUCAAAUGGGGAUUUAAAAAAUCAUGAAUAAUUAAAUCGGGUCCAAACAACAAAAUACAUGCAAAAGUAUGAGUGUAAGUGCGGCAAGAGAACCGGCUCAAUUGUACAGAAAGCCCAAGAGUAAGCCUUAUGUGAGGUUGAUGGCGAGCUUAAAAAGCAAUCGACUUACAAGGGUGUGAAAAAUGGGCUCGAUAUUAAAUCGAGAAAAGAAGUUGAUUUUUAUAGUUUUAAAAUGGUUUUUGCCAUGCAUGAUGGAUUUUUAAUAAAACCCAUGGACAUAAGAAACUAUUUAAAAGAAACAAAAUGCUAAAAGACAAUAAACCCACAAAAAAAUAAAAUGGCUGAAAGAAAAUGAAUACUAAAAGAAAAAAGAAUACUAAAGAAGGUGCUACAUAACGGUAUCGAACCCAUCUCCUCUUGAGACUAUGGAACUACCCUUCCUUUCCUUCCACUAGGCUAUUUUAUCAUUAGUUGUUAUCGUUAAUUGCUAUUUUAGAGAUAUAAACCAAGAUGAGUUAAAAAUACCUGAAAUGGUAUUUGAACAAAACAGAGAGGGUAGUUCCAUACACAUUCAGGUCAUAUCUUAACUCUAUCUUAACUCUUUCCCUAUUUGGGCCAAUAUCUUAACUCCUAUCUGAACCUGUUCUGUGAACUUGUUGUUUGCGCUUUAUUUCCAGGGGUCCGGUCAUACUUGAAAACUCUGCUCUGAAGAGUUUUUUUCUCCAAUUUUUCGUUCAUACUAAUUCACGGUCAUGUAUGAACCUGUUUUGUUGAGCUUUUUAUUCGCGGGGUCCGGUCAUCACUUGAACCUGCUCUGAAGAGUUUUUUCCAAUUUUUGUUCAAUACUAUUCAGGUCAUGUAUGAACCUGUUGUUGAAGCUUUUAUUCCGGGGUCCCGGUCCAAUACUUGAACUGCUCUGAAGAGUUUUUCCAGUUUUGUUCACAUACUAUUAGGUCAUCUCUGAAAUUGUGCGUUGAACUUCUAUUCCGGUGUCAGUCAUACUUGAACCUGUUCUGAGAUUCUUUCCUAUUUGUUCAAUACCAUUCAGCGUCAUGUAUGGACCUGUUGUUGACGCCUUAUUCCCGGUGUCAGGUCAUAACUUUGAAACUGCUCUGAAGAUUUUUUCUCUGUUUGUUCAAUACAAUUCAGGUCAUGAUGAACCUGUUGGUUUGACCCUUUAUUGCCGGUUGGUCAGGUUCCAUACUUGAACCUGCUCUUGAAGAUUUUUUUCUCUGUUUGUUCAAUACCAUUCAGGUCAUGUAAAUGAACGCUGUUGUUGAAACCCUUAUUUCGGUGUCAGGUCAUACAUGAACCUGUUCUUGAAGAGUUUUUCUUCCAAUGAUUAUUCCCCAGCGUUGUCAGGUUCAUUGUGAACUGGUUUGUAGCAUCUUUUCCUUGAUUCGGGUUAGUAAGUCAUAUGUGAACUUACUAACCGAAACCUCUUGUAUCCCAAGUAUCGAUUAAUCAAUCUCAUUUUUGAUUACUCCCCAGUGUGUGCCUGAUUCUCCAGCAGGAACUGUCUCCCCAGCAGAGUCGCCAAUCUGUCGGCACCUCGAAAAAAAUAAGGGAUACGACUUCAAAGCGAAGCGCGAUCGACGCUCGCCAAUGAUGACUGAACAGAGUCGGCCACCGACUUUAUUUAUUCCUAAAAAGGAAAGGGGAAAUAUCGAUAAAAGCCCAGGACAAAGAAAGGAUAAGAUAUGUCAUCGUAACCAAUAUAGCGCGUUCGGGAGUCGAUUACGCAAGGGGAAGGUAUUAACCCAAUUCCAAAAUACCUCCAACCAAUCAAACCUUUUUUUUCGCCGCCGUGGCGCCAAUCAAAGAACCUUUUUUCAAUAAAUGAAAGAUAUAUUGUCUUAACGUUGAUAUAAAACAGAAUGUUUCGGCCACGAUUGUUUGAGUAGAGAUAAAUGACGGCUUUUCGCGAAUGGUAGAUUUUAAUAAAUCCGUUCGAUGUGUUGGUAUCGUCGCAGUCCUCAUCUGUUUUGGGUAAAACAAUGUUUUAGUCGAUUAAUACAGUUAUAGCUUUCGCUAUAUCGUACCAACAACAAAUCUUUUUCUACCCAGAACUACGUAAGCCUUGAUUCUUUCUUUGAGAUACGUUAGGAGCAGGAUUUUGUAAUCUUGUCAGGCCCACUAAUAAAACUUAGGUUAGUCCUCGUCAAAAUCCAAAACACAUUUGCUCCUAUCUUUAUUCUUUCUAUGUCCCCACUAAUAAUUCGAAAAGCCUAAACAUUUUCAAACGUAACAUUAAGCACACAACUGACGCUAAUGGUUCCGUGAGUACAACGGACGUGAGGGGUGCUAAUACCUUCCCGCUUGCGUAACUCGACUCCCGAACCCUGAUAUUGGUUGCGAUGACAUAUCUUAUCCUUUCUUUGUGUCCUGGGGUUUUAAUCGAUAUUUCCCUUCCUUUUUAGGAAUAAAAUAAAGUUCGGUGGCGACUCUGCUUUCAGUCCAUUCAUUGGCGACGCGUGCGGAUCGCGCUUCGUUUGAGUCGUUAUCCCGCAUUUUUCGAGGUGCGCCAACUAUUAUGUCCAUAUAGACUGAUGAUCACAUCUCAUGGAUCAUGGCCUAAGCGCAGUUAUCAAGUCUUAAACAUCAGGUAUGAAAUUAAGAGUAAUAUUCUAUACUGGAUUGACCCGCUACUGAGAAUACUAUAUCGAAAGUUUUAUGCACAAGUGUCAUCAAGUUAUUGCUGAACUUGGACCCUAGAUGUAGAGUCGAGUGCUUUAAUUUGCUGAUCAAACGUGUUCGUAACUAGAUACCAUAAAAGACAGUUGAAUGGGUACUCCACGAAGGCAUGCUCGAGGGACAUGAGUGACCUAGGAUCGGAAUUUUUCGCGGCAUCGCCUGCGUAACAGGGUAAAUGUCUAUGGACCCAUAUUGACUUGACAAGGAUGCCGGUCUUAUGCUGGUGUUCAAUAUAGACAUAAGGGCCAAAACUGGUAAUUAUGCACAAAGUACCUUAUUCACAUAAGGAAUUUGUCAGAUCACAUGAACAUUUUCGUGUCUUUGGGUUAGGCAGUGACCUGUGUGUAGCAUACCGUCACUGUUUAUUAUGUUAACAUCGUGAUUUAAUAUAAUUGCCAACGUCGGCGAAAACCUAACCAGGGUCGGCACACAAAGGACGGAUUGAUGAGAACUAGACGUAACUAAUUAACACCGUAAGGUACGGUGCACUUAAGUGAAAUUAUAGAACAUCGUAAGCGGUGGCUAGGCUUAAGUAGAAAUCCAAAUAUGGUAAGGUACCACGCGCUUAAGUGAUUUUGGGCAUAUUAUAAGAUAUGGGCCAAAAUACACUUAAGUGGGCUUUUUAGCUUGAAGCCCACACAAGUGGUUCUAUAAAUAAAACCCUUGUGCAGAAGCAUUCAUUGCGGUUGCAUUAUUUUCGUUUUUCUUUCUCUCUCUCUCUCUCUCUCUCUCUCACUCAAAGCCUUCAUUCGUACCAGCUAGCACUGAGAUUGAAGGAAUCUGUUCGUGUGGACUGAGUAGAGACGUUGUCAUCGUUCAAUAUUCGUGAUCGCUCCGUGAAUAUGCAUCAAAGGUUUUGAUCGUCACAAGAGAUCUACACCAAAGGUUUCAAUCGUCACAAGAGGUAAAUAUUCUAUCACUGAUCAUGACCAUUCGUAAGGAUCUCUAAAGGAGAAAAUUUUAAUUUCCUCUGCAUUUUGGAUCGCAAUUCUCCUUCAGUGGUAUCAGAGCCACUUAUGAAACCAUGAAUCGGGUAGCUGUUUAUUUUCUGUAUUAAUAUGAUUAAAAGACAGAAUGAAUCAAUUAAUUAAACGGGUAAUUAAAUUUGGCAUCAUGAGUGUACGAGUUGGAUGAUUGAUGUUGACUAUGCUUCGGAAGCGACAUUAGUAUGGUGAAGCAGCGAUACGUCGGUCGUCCAUAGGUUACGCAAUUGAGACCUAUCAACUUAUAUAUGAUAUAAGUAAUCCUAAUGCAAAGUACGAUAUAUAUGAUAUACUGUUUCUGUUUCGUUCAUUCAAACACUAAAUGGUUGUUUUCCUUUGAGCGAUCAAUAAUCAUUUGCUUCGGAAUCCGACAUCAGUAUGGUGAAGCAAUGACCUGUUGAUCAAUCAUACUGAAUCAACAAUCGAGGUGUGUUUGACGGUCUGAAAUUGGCAUAUUAGGGUUGGUGACGGCGCAAGGGUUGUGCCGUCAAGGAGUUGUGAAUUGAGGGCUUGUUGGAACACGUCUGUUGACUGUUUCAAAGCGCUGGUUUUUGGCCUCGUGACGAUUGUCAUGGACCUGUGACGAUCGUAACAAGCUGGACGUGACGGUCGUCACAUGCUUUGUGAUGGUCGUCACAUUCACAGAUCCAAAAUUCUAGGCGUUUCUGUUAUUUUGGCCGCGUGACGUUCGUCAUGGGCCUGUGACGGUCGUAACAAGCUGGGCGUGACGCUCGUCAUGGGCUUUGUAACGGUCGUCACCUUCACAGAGUCCGAAUUCUUGGGGUUUUCUGUUUUGUGACUGCACAAGAGUUGUGUUGAUACAAAACGACGUCGAUUUCAAAUGAAUUGUUCAUUAAAAUUUAGGAAAAGGACAAUGCCCCCUUGACCCCCGUCCACUGAUUGGUCAGCAGAACCACCAUUCGCUGACCGGGCAGCGGAACCCCGACUAACUCUGCGUAGUGUGAUCGGUCGCCUAAAUUUAAUUUGGUUUUAAUUAAUUAAAAGAAUUAAGAUUAAUAAUAAUAAUAAUGUGUUUGUUAUUAUUGCCUUGUGGUGAUCAGUUAUGGCCUUAGUUAUCCUUUAUUUUGUUUUGGGUUUUAAAUACGACCUGCGUGUCGUGCCUAUCCUUUUAAUCUCUUAAUGUAACUUCUUUUCUCAUCUCAAUCCCUCGUAUGUAAAACGAGUUUCUUCUGUAAUGUAAUGUUAUGAAGAAAGAGAAGAAGACAAUGUUAUAAAGAAAAAGAAGAUUUCAAUAUCAAAGGAGGAAACCCUUGAAGAUCAAAGGAGGACAGACUUGAAGAUCUUGCUUGGAGAAGCUUAGAUCGUUAUUAGGUUAGCUUAGGUUCUCUCAUUGGCUUGGGAGAACAAUUGCGUUAGGGGCCAUAACUGUUUCAUUUUGUAUGUUGAUGCAUGUGAAUGUAUGUUGAUGCAUGUGAAUGUAUGUUGAUGCAUGUGAAUGUAUGUUGAUGUAUGUGAGAGACGAUUUAUAUGAUAAAUAACCGGUGAGAUCAGAAUAAUUGCAAUUCCCUCAAAAUUAAAUAUUAAGUUUAUGCUUUCCAAGUUUUAGCACUCAUCAAGACUAGUAUCGGAUAAUGUAGGUUUCGCCUACGCGAGGUGCAUGUUCUAUAUUAGUAAGGUGCGAUGGGAUAAUUGUAAUAUCCAUCUGCUAAAACAAUGGGUCAAACUUAACUAAACAAAUUAUAAUAAUAUUAUAUAUGUUUGCUUUCCAAGUUUUAGCACUCAUCAAGACUAGUAUCGGAUAAUGUAGGUUUCGCCUACGCGAGGUGCAUGUUCUAUAUUAGUAAGGUGCGAUGGGAUAAUUGUAAUAUCCAACCGCUAAGACAAUGGGUCAAACUUAACUAAUUAAAAUAAUAUUAUAUAUGUUUAGAAGCAAGAGUUGGGAAUGAUCCAGAUGAUGGAUUGGAAUAAGGAGUUAUUCACCCAACUGAAAUUUUUGAGAGUUGUAUGAGAUACAAUUGGAAGGAGUUCCUACCUAAAUAACCUAGUUUUGUGUAAUCCGCCUACGCAGACUUAGAACGAAGUGAAAUAUGGAUCUCGACCCACUAGAAAAUCUUCCAAUGGGAUUUUCCGAAUCAAAUGAUGAGGGUCAUUUGCUUUGAGUAAAAUAGUGGAAGCAUAUUUAAUUAAAGGAUUAAAUAUGUUAAUGAUACUUAUAUUUUCAUUAAUCUCAACAAACACCUUUAACAAUCAUUUUGCGAUCAAUCCUUGACAAAGAUAAAUUGUCUGGGACAAAUUUUCUGGAUUGGCAUCGAAACCUGAGGAUUGUCCUCAAACAUAAUAGAAAGUUGUAUGUCUUGGAGACACCUGUUCCUGAAGAGGAACCUCCUAGUUCUGCACCUAAGGCAGAAAGAGAUGCUUAUAAGAAGCAUGUCGAUGGAUGAUGCCAUGAAACUGCUUUGUCUCAUGCUGGAUUACCCAUGAACUUCAGAGUUGCAGAAGCAACCAUGAGAACAUGACAACGUUCGAUAUGUAUCGAACACUCUGAAGAAUGCUCUAUCAAGAAAAAAGCCAAGCCGGCAUGAAAGGUUUUGAAGUUUUCAAAAAGACCCUUUUUCAAGGCAAGUUGAGCUGAGGGAGCCCCUGUAGGUCCCUAUGUGCCUCAAGAAUGAUAGGGUAUAUGGAGAAACCUUGAUAGUUGGGGUUUUCCCUUCGAAAUGAACUUACGACUGAUUUGAUCUUGCAAUUUCUUGCCAUAUGGAUUUCGUCAAUUUGUCCUAAAUUUUAAAUAUGAAUGAUUUGGACAAUCGUUUCCUGAGUCUGCUAAGCCAUGUUAAGAAUGCUGAGCAGAAUCUGAAGAGCAAAAGGGAGUGCUAUUCUGAUGAUUCGGAAAUGGAAAAGAGACAGAACACAAAGACACCAAGCAGGUGCUAAAUGGAAAGGAAGGAAGUUGCCAAACCAGACCACUAUUGUGCUUUGAAGCCUAGUGGAGGCAUAGCAAAGGAAGACACCGUACUUCAUUGUCGGUAAGACCGGACACUGGAAGAAGAACUGCCAAAGUACUUGAAGAUGACAAGUCUCCAUCACAAUGGGUAGAAAGCGUGGAAAGAGCUAAUGAUCUUUUGGCCCUCAUGACAUAUUGAUGUAUGUGGACCACUGCAUACCAACAAGAGGGGUUUUUUAGUACUUCAUCACAUUUACUGGAUGAUUUCAGUAGACAUGGUUAUGUGUAUCUAAUGAAACUCAACUCGGAGUCCUUUGAAAAGUUCAAGAAUUCAGAUGAAGUACAAAACCAACUAGGUAAGAUAUUAAAACUCUUCUGAGUCAGAUCGAGGUGGUGGAGUAUUUAAGCCUAGAGUUUGAUGACCAUCUGAAAGAGUGUGGAUCCUAUCGCGCAACUUACUCCUCCUGGAACACCCCAAUGGAGAUGGUGUAUAUGAGAGAAGAAAUUCGAACCCUGUUGGACAUGUCCGAUCCAUUGAAUGAGUCACAGCGAUCUUUCAAACUCCUCUUUGGGGACUGCACUAUGGACAUCAAGCUUACAACCUUAACCGUGUUCAUCAAAAAGGUUGAGAAGACAACCUAUAAUGAGAUAUGGAGUGGUAAGAACCACAUAUGUCUACAUGAAGAUUUGGGGUUGCCGACGGGAGUUUAUGUGACACGACUAAAUUUCAACUAAGCUUGAGCCCAAAUCUGACAAAUGCUUUAUUUGUGGGGUAUCCUAAAGAACACAAGCGGUAUUAACUUCUACAAUCCUUCUGAGGCGCAACAGUUUUUGUCGCUUCGAACUGGAAGUUUUUCCUAGACAAAGGAUUUUUUUCAAAGGAAUCAGUGGGGAGGAAAGUAGAGCUUGAAGAAAUUCAGAAUCACAAAGCAUUGAUCACACCUAUGGAGAGAAUUAGAGAAGGAAACACAAGUAGUUGUGGAAGAACAACCUGCUCAAGUAAGAACAAGACCCCGUAUGGUCAGGGCAGGAUACGUCACCUACCUGAGAGAUAUGAAUAUCUCAUCACUGAUCAAUGGUGAUGUAAUUACUCGUGAUCCAGAAUGAGAUGAGCCUUGUGUCACAAGAAGGUUAGUGGGAGCAUGAUCGUUUUCCUGGUAUUAUAUGUAGAUGACAUAUUACUCAUCGAAACGAUGUCUACGCGCUGCAACAAGUUAAGUUCUUGGUUGUGGAAAUGCUUUUUCUAUGAAGGAUCCCUAGUGAAACAACUAUAUAUUAGGAAUCAGACUCUAUAGAGAUAGAUCAUAAGUGCUGAGACCGCUUUAAUAUGCAAUGAUUUCCAAUAGGUUUGUGUUUUUGCUUAAAAUGGGUGGGCGCUGUGAGCUGGGAAAAGUUGCAAAAGCAAGAUAGCAUUGCCUGAUUCUACAACCGGGCUGAGUAUAUUGCCGCUGCCUCAGUGGCGCAGCAAGAUAGCUGUUUUGGAUGCAAAAAAGUUAAUUAGUGAACUUGACAUAGUUUCAUCUAGCAUUUGUGGGAUCCCAUUGGUCUCUAUUAUGAUAACCAUGGUGGCCUAUUGCACAAGCUAAGGAUUCAUAGAUCUCACCAACGAUCCAAAAACUACUUAGGAGUUAUCAGCUCAUCUCGAGAGAUAAUAGAUAGAUAGGAGAUGCGAAAAUAUGCAGAGUACCUAACACUUGACAAUAUUGCUGACAUCCACUUGACAAAGCCUCUUACGCAGCAGAUAGCAUGUGGCCAUAAACUAGAUCUAUGGGUAUUCAGGGGUAUCCUGAUUGGCUGCCUUUCGUGCUAAUGGGAGAUUGUUCUGGUGUAAGCCCCUAGAAGCAUACUUUUGGUUUGUAUCGAAUUAUUUAUUAAUAAUAAAAGGUUUCUUUCUUAUUACCCGUUUGUUUAAUAAACGUCCUAGAAUAGACCAGUCUGUUUAAUGUCAAGUAUGCACGUUAAGUCAUGAGAUUCACAGUUAAACAUAGAGGCACUAUUCUUAAACAGUAUCAUAGUCGUGUUUAUUGUGAAGUGGGAUACAUUGAAAGCAUUAAGACUAUUAUGUUAUAUAGACUUGAUCGAUCACAUCUCAUGGAUAAUGGAUAAGGAGUUAUCAAAGUCUUACCAUAAGUAUGAAGAAUAGUAAGAGUAAUAUUUAUACUGAUUGACCCGCUAUGAGAAACUAAUAUAGAAAGUUAUCGCAAAGUGUCAUAAAGUCUUAUUUCUCAUGUGAUAAUGGUGUAUACCACUCUUGAUCUGAAACCACUAUGGACCCUAGCUGGUAGAGUCAAGUGCUUUACUUGCUGAUGCAAACCCUUGUCGUAACUGGAUAACGCAUAAGAGACGUUGAUGGUACUCCACGACGCAUGCCUGGAGCGGAAGCAUGAGUGACCUAAAUGGAAUUUUGCCAUGCUGCGUAACAGGAAUAAUGUCUAUGGGCAAUAUUGAACUGGACACAAGGAAUGAACAAUCCUAUGCUUGUGUUUCAUAUACGACAUAAUGGGCAAAAGGGUAAUUAUGCACAUAAGUAUUAUGAGAAAAAGGAUUUGUCCGAUUACAUGACAUUUUCGUGUCUUUGGGCUACAGUGAUGUGUUGCUAGAUACUGCUCACUAUUUAUUAUGUUAAAUGGUGAUUUAUAUAAUUUGCAACGUCGCGAAACCUACCAGGGUCACACACAAAGGACAGAUUGAUGAGAGAUAGAGUAACUAAGGAACACGUAAGGUAGCGGUGCACUUCGUGAAAUAUAGAACACUCGUUAAGGUUAUGGUGUUACUAUAAGUAGACUACGAAAUAUGGUAAGGUACCCCGCACUUAAGUGAUUUUGGCAUAUUAUAAGAUAUGUGGCCAAACAUACACUUAAGUGGCUUUUUAGCUUGAGCCCACACAAGUGGUUCUAUAAAUAAAACCCUUGUGCAGAAGCAUUCAUUGCGGUUGCAUUUUAUAUUUUCAUUUUUCUUUCUCUCUUCUCUCUCUGCUCUCUCACAUCAUAAAGCCUUCAUUCGUAAGUAGCAACUGAGAUUGAGGAAUCCGGUCGUGUGGAUUGAGUAGAGACGUUGUCAAUCAUUCAACGUUCGUUAUCGCUCCGUGAAUCUAAAUCUAAAGGUUUUUGAUUGUCACAAGAGAUCUGGCACAAGGUUUCAAAUCGUCACAAGAGGGUAAAUAUUCUAUCAUGGAUCAUGACCAUUCGUAAGGAUUCUCUAAAGGGAAAAUUUUAAUUUCCGGCUGCGUUUGGAUCGGCAAUUCUGCCUUCACAAACACUUCCGCCGAACGACGCGCAGGAUUUUGAACCCUCCACCAAAAUAAACAAACGUGGUACCAAAAUGCAGCCAGGGUGAUGUACAUCACCCCUGUCAACCUUGGAUUCGUGCUCAAAGUCUCUAUGUGAUGAGACAUCUUUGAGGUUGAAAAAUCAAGGUAUCGCAAAUUGAAUGCUUCAAAUCUGAAAUCAAGACGCACCACUGGCUGCCUCUUGGCUGAGGACUUCAAAAACAAUUUAAAUACAAGCAAUUCACAUAUGGAGGCAAGCCUUUAGAUCAAAACAGUUUGGUGUUUACUUUUGAAAGAGCAACUUUGAUCGCAGGCACGAUUUCUUCAAACUUUUUGCUUCCAAUUUGCUCUUGAGAUGUGAUAUGAAUGCACAGGCUAAGGGAAUAAGACUUGAAGAUCACUGAUUGUGUUAAAAUUCAAGCUUGAAAUUUCAAAGAAAACAAAAUUGGAAUUUCCUUUGAGUGACAGGUUUAAGAUUUUGAUUUCGGCAGAGCUUUCCGAUACGACCUAAAGGUUGAAGAUUUGAUGAGGAGGAGCAUGUAUUUAGUUGCAGCUGAAAGCAGCAAGUGAAAUGCUCGUGUGCAUGAGAAUUGGGCUCUCCUGCAUGGGGCUGUACAAGCGCAUGUGAGGGCCCAAAAUUGGAUUGAAACUGCAAGCUGAUAUCAUUUGCAGAUGGUUUGGACGUGCAAGUUGGCUGGUUCAGCUUGUGCUUGAAGAAUCAAGUGAAUUGCACAUAAUUGAUGCAUAAUCUGUUAAGCCUUCGAAAAAUGCAGCACAUGGCAAGGUCCAAAGAUGGUGGUGUGAGUAAUGGUUGGAAAGAUUUUUGAGUAGGAAGACAAUAUAGUUUGGACAAAAAUCCAUUUUGGGCAGUUUGGAAAUUCGUAAAAAACUUGGCCUUGAAGUUUUGAAGUACAUAAAUGUCUAGGUUCCCUUUGAAAUUUUUUUUUCCAAAGUGACAACUUCAAAGGCCUUAUGUUUCAAUUAUUCAAGCCUCAAAUGGAAACACUUCAAUCAAAGUUGUUUAGCUAUUUUCAAGUUGAUCAAUUUAAGAAUUAAAUUUUUGCCAUGAUUUGAGAUUUUGAUGAGAAAGUUAUGGGCACUUGAAAGUGGAAACAUUUUUCAAAUUCAAUGGUUUUUGGUCCAAAGAGACCUAUAAUGUUUUCUGUAUUAAUCACAUGUGUCUUAUUUUAGGAUUAUGAAAUUUUUCCAACAUAUGAAUUUGAAUUAGACAUCUUAAUCUUUCCAAUGGCAAUAAUUAGUCUCACCUCAAAAUAUCAUAAAAUAAGGAAGUUAAGGAUUUUGGAAGUUGACCCAAAAUUAAGGGUUUAGUCAAAAUGAACCUAUAAUGUUUUUGAAAUGAAUAAAUGACCUUCCAAGUUUCAAAUGACUUUGUUUAUGAACAUGAAAGUUGUUUCAUUGGAAUGGUUCUUAGAACAAUUUGUUCUCUUGGGGUAUCUUGAUUUGACAAACAUAUCAAAGUUUGUGUCUCAGUGAAUCUCAGUUUGGUCAGAUGACUUGACUGUCAACUUGCUCAAGGCCAAACUUUAAAUCUUGAGAAUGAAUGAUUGAGGUAAUACUCACAUAAGCUCAUAUAUGCCAAUAAAAUAAUGAUGAAAGACUUCGCCUUAAUUUUUUAAUUUGGAUUAGGGUUGAGGGUUUCUUAUGAGCAAGGGCACAUCAAUGCACAGUUGAAUUAGGGUUUUCCUUGGGAAAUCAAUCCUCAAGCCUUUGGGUUUCUUGAUCAAAUUAACCACAAUUUAAGAAUACUUGGGAGGCAUAUAUAAUGAUUAGGAACAUUGUGGACGCUUUUCAUGCCUUUGUUUCUCAUCUUCAUCUUAGGGCCACAUUCAUUGGCAUAGGAGCGCUCUCUAGGAGCAAGGGAUUCAUGAAUUACUUGAGCUUCAAAACCAAAAAGAGUUUAGUGACAUAAUUUGUGCUUUUGUUAGUAGAAAAUAAGAAAGCAAUAUAUACCAUACAGAGCAUGGCUUGGUGGUCUCACACAACUCAACAAGUCCCAACCCUAGGGUUAAGGAGCCACACAUGCUAUGGAUCUUACGGCAAGAUGCAUUAAGCAAUGUUAUGAUGCAUGAGGGAUCUUAGGGUCAAAAUUAGGAUCUUCACAAGCGCUUAUCUAUUGCCUCGUUGAGAAGGAGUUGGGGCACUAUGUUCCUCAUUGAAAUAUGCUCCAGAAGCUUGUGGAAGAAGGUAACUGUUGAUCAAUGGGGGCCGCAUGGUAAGACGGUUGCCGACACCAAAGGCUUAGAACCAGUUUGGGGUUCUAGAAAGGUUCAUUAAUGUUAGAUAUGAAGAUUGCAACUUAGCUUUCCAUAGAGGAGGGUUCAUUCAUGGCAAUGAACACCACUUAGCAUGCUGUGCUAAGAGGAUGACCAAGAUGGAGACUGCAACGCAAUUUUGUGACGCAAUGGAAGGGCUUGGCAACAAUUGGACUGUGUUGAUAUUCCCUGUUAUUUUGCAUCGAUUUCUAAGUAAAUUGCUUUUAUAUGUUUUUAAAUCCUUCUUCUAAUUCCUAAGGGAAGAAAUGAACUUGUUUAGGCAUUUUUCAAAAUUGAUCAUUAAUAAAUAUUAAUUCUAUUCAUCGCACAUCUAUUGAUGUUAUUUUUACUUUUUUUUGCUUUAAUUCUGAAAAAUGGUAAACAAAACAUAAAUACAAUAAUAUACAUUGUCCCAUCUGGCAUAUAUUUUGGUACAAUUCACUUCUCUAAAAUCAAAUAUCAAAUCAAUUAUGCCAGGUUGAUUUCCUACCCGCAUUAGAAUAUAAUGAUCCUUCUCCUUCUCCAAAUUUUUUUGAAAUUCGCCUGUGUUUAAGACGGGAGGAAAGUUGAUGUAGAAGUGAGUGUGAAUUAUCUCGUCUUCUUUGAGCAAGAUGAAAGACCAAUUAGCCGUUCGAAGAACAGAUUGAGGCUAGUCAAUUGGGUUCCGAGGAUGAUGUGAAGAAAGUCAAGAUUGGGUUCGACUUGUGUCCCAGAGUGUUAAGAAGGGGUUGAUUGAUCUUUCCUUCGAGAGUAUUCAGCUGUGUUUGCUUGUCCUAUUAAGACAUGUCCUGGGGUUGGAUUCUGAGAUGGUGGACAUAGAUUGCCGUUGAAGCCAGAAUGCCCCUCAGUCAAGCAGAAGUUGAGAAGAAUCAUCCUGAUAUGGCCAUGAAGAUCCAAGAGGAAGUGCAAAAGAGAAGCUGCCGGUUUUCCUUGUUAACUGCUGAGCAUCCGGCAAUGGGUGGCAAAUUAUUGUGCCUGUUGCCGAGAAAGAGGAAAAGUCCCGCAUAUGCGUCGCACUCUAGAGAUUUGAAAUAAAGCCAGUCGAAAGAGAAUGAUUUCCUUGCACACAAUUGAUAUGUUGGUAGACAAUAAUUGCUAAAUUCAAAGUCUUUUCGUUAUGGAUGGAUUUUUCGGGAUAUAAUCAGAUCAACAUGGCACCCAAAGAAUGGAAAAAGACCUAUUCAUUACACUUGCGGAACAUUCUGUUUAUACUAAGUGAUGCCUUUCGUCUACCCAGAAUGCUGGUGCAAUUACCAGAGAAAGUAAUGAUACUCUUUUUUCCACUGAUAUGAUGCAAUUAAAGAGAUUGAAGUUUAUUGUCGAUGAAUGAUUGCUAAAUCCGAUCUGAUGACGAAGGAACAUGUUGAGACAUUUGUUGAAGUUAUUUCCAGCGUUUGAGGAAGUAUAAACUCAGCUUGAAUCCAAUAAGUGUACCUUUUGGUGUUCUUCUGGUAACGCUUGUUGGGCUUAUAUUCUCAACGAGAAGGGUAUUGAAGUUGAUCCUGCAAGGUCAAAGCAAUACAAGAAAUGUCUGCGCCCAACAACUGAGAAGCAAUCAGAGGUUUUCCUUCGACGCUUAAUUAUAAUUUCCAGAUUCAGUUUCCAGCUGAACUGCCACAAUGUGCGCCUAUAUUCAAGCCUUCUUCGGAAAGACCAGUCUUUGUGCUUGGGACCAAGACUGCCAAAAAACUUUUGACAGUAAUUAAUAGAAUAUUUUGUUGAACCUCCUAUUUUUGUCUCGCACUCGUUGAAGGAAGGCUGUUGAUCAUGUAUUUUUGCCUGUGUAUUAAGAUAGUAAUGGGUUGUUUGUUCUAGGGUCAGGCAAGAUGAGACUGAAAAAGAUAAGAAUUUGGCAAUUUCUACGUAGUAAAAAGUUCACGAGCGGCUGUGAACUCGUAUUGCUAUUGCUUGAGAAGACUUGUUGCGCAUUGGCUUGGGCUGUAAGCAUUUGCGCUCAGUUUUUCUAUGUUAAUAUACCACUUUGGUUGAAUAUCCAAAAUGGAUGCAAUCAAGUAUAUAUUUUGAAAGCCUGCUUUAACUGGGAAGGAUUUCGCGUUGGCAGAUGUUGUGUAUCAGAGUAUGAUAUCGAAUAUCGAUCUCAGAAAGCGAUCAAAGGUAGUAUCUUAAGCUGACAUUUGGCUCACCAACAUCUGAAGACUUCCAGUCAGUGCAAUUAUAAUUUCCUGAUUAAGAAGAUUUUGUAAGCUUGAAAAUGAAAGAUUGUGGAUGAACGCAUUGCUUGAAGAAAGGGCCAGAACCUGGUUCCCGUUGGGGCAACUGGAUUUGAUGGCAGCUGUUAAUCAAUAUGGAAAAUGGCAUUGGGGAAGUGAUUAUUAUCCUCAAGGCACGCAUCUACCAUUUACAACUAGAUUGAUUUCAAGUGUACAUUAACACGAGUGGCAAAUAUGAAGCUUGCAUUAUGGGGAGAUUGAGAGGCCAAAUCGAAUUCCUCAGAAUCAAGUAUUUAGAUGUCUUCGGUGAUUUGGCUUUGGUUGUGAAUCAACUCAAAGGAGAAUGGCGAGACGAAUCAAUCUGGAUUUAAAUAGCAUAUAGAGAUAUGCGAGGAGAAAUUUUCAAUUUUCUUUACAAAGGUGGAAAUUUUAUGAUAUCCCUUCGAGAUGGAAAACCGGAUGGAGAUGCUCUUGCAACGUUGGCAUCAAUGAUGUGUAGUGAAGUAUUGGAAUGAAGUUCCGCAAUUUUGCUCUUGUAAUGCGUCUUGAUAGGCCAACUCAUGUGUUUGUUGUGGAAGAGAUCAAAGAAUGAAAAGUCGUGGUAUUAAUAACAUCAAUGUUUCUCGCAAAGUCAGAUUUACCACCCGAGGCAAUCUUUGAAAGAUAAGCAGACUUAGAGAAGAUUAGCGGUAUUUCUACCUUGAUGGUGAUAUACUAUAACAAAGAAUCUUGCGACAUGGUUUUGGCUCAGAUGCGUGGAUAGACCGAAGCAGACUUGUGAUGACUCGAAGGUGCAUGAGGUUUCGCUUUGGUCACUCAUUCAAUGGAGCAUGCAAUUGGUGAAGAAGAAUGUUAGCGGAGCAUAUUAUAUUGGCCGACAAUGGAAUCUGACUGUUUGCAAGUUUUGUCGUAGAAAUGCCACAAGUGGUCACAUUUAAUGCUGAUAAGAUUCAUGUUUCUCUCUACAUAAUUAAUAUUAUUUUCCUUCCCCCAUGGCCUUUCUCCAUGUGGGCUAAUUGAUAGAUUGGAUGAUUGAACCUAAACUUCGAAUGACAUCGUUUAUUUUGGUGGCUAAUUGACUACUUCACAAAAUGGGUUGUAAGGCGGCAUCGUCAUGCAAACUGUUAAGCAAGUAAGUUGUUGUAAGGUUUAUCAAGAAUAAUUCUACUGCCGUUUAUGGUGUGCCAAGCAAGAUAAUUAUGAUAUGGAGAUGCAAAAUUGAAUAAAAUAAUGGGUGGAAGCUAUUUGCAAAGAGCUUCAAGAUUGCACAUCAAUACCAUUCUUCUCCUACAACAAGAUGAAUGGGGUUUGUUGAAGCUGCAAACAAGAAAUAAGAAAGAAUUAUUCAGAAUGAUGGUUGUCACAUACAAGGAUUGGCAUGAGAUGCUCCAUUUGCUUUGCCAUGGGUAUCGGUACAUUCUGUCCGCACUACAAAGGGGGAACCCCUUUAUCUGUUUGUUUAUGGGUAUGGAAGCAAUACUCCCUAUCAGAGGGUUGAGAUUCCUUCAUUAUGUUUGCCAUGGAAGCAAGUUGACUGAGGCUGAAUGGUGUGAGACCAGGUUUUGAUCAGCUGAAUUUGAUAGAAGAGAAAAGAUUGACUGCAUGGUGUCAUGCGUCAGUUUUGUAUCAGCAGAGGAUGAAGAAAGCUUUUGAUAAGAAGGCCCGACCUUCGUGUGUUCAGAGAAAGGUGACUCUUGUGCUGCAGAAGAUUUUAUGUUCAAACGUCGCAUAUUCUAGGGGAAAAUAGACUGCUAAUUAUGAAGGCCCAUCAUGUUGUUAAGAUAGCCUUUUCAGGGGGCGCAUUGAUACUUACAACUAUGGAUGGUGAAGAGUUACGUCGUCCUGUGAACGAGAUGCCAAUAGAAAUACUUCGCCUAAAAAGAAAAGAACAACUCGCUAAGUUGAAACCCGAAAGGGCGGGCUUAGGGCAAAAAUGAGUGUCUCGGUGGAUUGAAACUCGAAAGGGUGAUCCAGGCAAAAAUUAGAGACAUAAAAACAAAAAAAAAAUCCCGAUAAGUUGAGUACCCCACCUUGGGGCAACUUAUGCAAAAAUUAGGGAUCAUGGCAAGUAAUUGCAUUCUGCUCGAUUCUUCUAAGUUUUUUUUUUAACUUGGUUGAGCAUAAGGGUUGACGUCACAUUCAUCACCUAGUUAGCAGGUCAAAGAGCACAAUGGAUAUCAGAGUUGGUAGAGGAUUAAGGAUCAUUUUUAUUCAUUGUAACCCUUCUUUCCAUUGUUAAUUACAUUUUCACUUUGUAAAAAUUAUGGAGUCUUGUCAUUUUACAGGUACAUUCCUACAACUAAAGUUGAACUUUUAUCGCAAUUGUUUCUACUCUUAUUUUACUUUCAGCCAAUAGUUUUUAAAUUUUACUAUGAUCAUUUUGAAAAUUAUUUUUUUUUAAUCAAGAAUCAGUUUUUCUAAAUUAUAAAAGCAAGAAUUUUUUCAAAGCAAAUUAAAAGAAAUAUUAAAACAUUUAUGAUGGAUAGCAAGUCCUCAGUGGAAGCAUCGAAGGUUCUCUAAGUUAGUUAAUUUUUUGGGUAUCCUAGACAUUGGUGUUGAUUUUCCCAGUUUUCCUUGACGGAGGUAUUCUGAUCCGCCAGUGGAGCUUUGUUCCUUGUCCUCGAGCCGAGUUGGUUGAUUCAGAUACCUGCGGUGUGUUGUUGUCUCGACAGAGUUUUCUUUCUUCCCCGCGGAGUAUGUUGUUUCCUAGUAAGUGGUUGAUUUUUCAGGCAGAUACGAUUGAUUUUCCCCAGUAGAUUGCAUUGUUUCCCCCGCCGAUCGCCAGUCGCUUGGCUUCCUGUCAGAGUCUUCUCCUGGUUUCUGAGCAAGCUUUUGUUAGUUGAAUGUUCUCUGUAGGGUUGUCUCCCAUUUUUUUAUGGUGUUGAGCCUAAAAUUUCCCAUAUAUUUGAUGUUCUUUCUCAGCAGAUCUCUCUUUUCCUAGUUAGGGUUGAGCCUUUUUGGACUUUGUUGAUCUCUCUGUUCCUCAGCAGUUUUGUUCUCCAUUCUUUGUGAUUGACGAGGAUUUGUACCGAUGAUUCAUUUCUUCGCGACACCUUCGUAUCCUUGUGAUCGUGUUUUGUCACAUAAAAACAUAUAUAUAUACACUAGCAUUAUCGUACAUUUCAUACUUGCAUCAUUACCUUGAGAUUUUUAUUCUCUGUUAUGGUGGUACUUUAAUAUCCCAUACUGAAUUUCGAUGUUUGUUCCCUCAAUUGUAGAGUUGUCAGCUCCUUAGGCAGAAAGACUUUAACCUUUGUCCUUUUUUCCCACUGAGCUUGUUUUCCUAAGUGAUGAUUAUCAUUUCAGUUUUCCACCUAGCUUAAUUAUCUGGAUUGGAAUCAUCUCCCUUGGGUUUAAUCUCAAUGGGUUGAGUUUAUUUGCCCGUGUUCUUUCUAGCUUCUUACGCUAGAUAGAUGCUUUCGAGUCUCCUAAGAGUCUAUUGCCCAGUAACUGGUAAUGAUUGCUUCUUAUGAUUGCAGUUUAUUAUUUUUGCCCAAUACCGCCAAGAGUACCCUUGUUUUUUCCAACAGUGGAGUCCCUAGUGGACUUCAUUUAUCGUUUCCCAAAAAGUAUAUCCUUGAUAUGUUCAUCCUACCCGGUGACGGAUAUCUUUCUCUCCCCUACUUGAGUCUAUGCCUUGAUUAUGUUCAAUCCUAACGCGAUGCCAAAUAUUCUCUUCUUCGGUAUUCUAAGCCCCAGUAAAAAGGUAAGUUUGUAAUCCCUAUUUUUGUUCCCCAGAGAAGUUAAUCCUUGGAUAUUUGUUAUCUAACCGAUAAUGUUUCUUUCUCUUUGCGGUCUUCUACGCCUAGUAACGGUAGUUGUAAAUCGUCGCUUUUUUGUUUCCCGUCGGCGAGUUGAUCCUUGAUAUGCUUCACUUUUUAACUAGUGAAUAUUCUGCUCUCUUGGUAUUCUAUCCAGUAACUGAUAGGAUAUAUUCCUAUUCUUAUCUCCUCACAGUGUUUAUCCUUGAUUGUUCAUCCUAACCGGUGACAAAUUUUGCUCUUUGACGGUAAUUCUAUCCAGUAUUCGAUAGAUGUAAUUCCUACUUUUUUUUCGUUGGUUUACCCUUGAUAUGUUCCAUCUUAACGCGCGAUGACGGGUAUCUUCUGCAAUCCAAGCAAGUCUAUCCUUGAUAUGUUCAUCCUAACCGAUAACGAAUUUUUCUUCCUAUCGAGUUUAUCCUUGAUAAUGUUCAUUCUACCGAUGAGGGUACUCUCACGCCUUGGUCUUCUGCCCAGUAACUGGUGUUACAUACCCCAAAAUUUACGCCUCAUUUUCAUGGAACAUGGGGAUUUUCGUUUCACAUUGCAGUAGAUCCAUACUAGGUCAUACUCAUUGCAUACUGCAUUUAGUGACUUGGAAAUGCAGGGUUCUGAUUGAUCACUCCUUAGCAGAAGGAGCCGCACACAAAGCAAGACUGAGAAUUAGACUUCAUUUUCUUCUAUUUAUAGCAAGGUCGCAAGGGUCUCAAGGGGUUCAUCUGUCUUAUCUAUGGUCCUCAUUCAUCAGUGAAGGAUUCCGGGCUCUCAGAGUGUGCAUCCAGAUUUAAAUCAGAAAUCUAGGGCUUCAUGGCUACCUGGAACAGGCAAUGGUUUGGUGGGAAGAAAAGGAGGCUCAUUCAUGUAAUUAUUAGAGAGGCAUCUUUGGCCUAGGAAGAUUCUAAUAUUCACAAAGAUCAUUGGCAAUAGUGCCACUGGAGUUCCUAGUCAUUUUUGCCUAAACUAGGGUUUGGUAUAAAUCGGUUUAUUUCUGAUUCCUUGGGUGACCCUCUUUUCAUGGCCUCUAAUAUGUCCCCAGGGUCUACAUGCAAAAAAUCAGCUCUUUAUUUCGAGCAAAGGUGCUUCAAUUGAUAAGGUGGAAAUCGGGAAUCAGACAGUUUGGGAAAAGUCAACGGUGGAGCCAGAAAGUCAACUCCUGAAUUCUUGAAAAGUAAAUCUUUCAACAUUCAUGCCUAAGGAGGGCCUACACUGUGAAAUUUGAUCAAGGUUGGAUCAUGGAUUCAUCAUUUACAUCAGGAGUUUGGCAGAAAGUUACCAAAUUUGAAAUAGUUCUGACUUUCCAUUUCGGGGCAAGUUUUUUAUGGUUGUUGCACCCAUUUAAGCAUUUUCCAUCAGAUGCCAAGCUCCAUUUUGAACAUUCUCCAACAUGAAAGUUGUUCCUCUUGUUCCAAAGCUUCUCUAUAGAUCUACAAGUCUUAUUCAUUUGGAUUGAAAUUGAGAAAGUUAUGGCUUGGUCAAAGUCGAGACAUUAUUUAGAACACUUAGAAAAUUUUCUAAGUUCAAAAAUUUUGCAAAAUUUUUGUGCCGGGACUUUUGGGGCCAGUUUUCUUGCACUUUAAAGGCAAUAUUUUUGGAAAAUACUUUCCUUCAUGAGACAAUUGUACGCUUGAUAUGUUAUUUCACAUCCAUUUUUUUUUUUUUUUCUUUUUUUUUUUUUUUUUUUUUUUUUGCUUUUUUUUUGUUUUUUUUUUUUUUUUUUUUUUUUUUUGGAAUCAUCGCCAUUUGAUCAUUGUUUGAAAGACACACUCCUCUACAAGUUUUGGCCUCAUGGACUGAAUUUUUAGGCAGCAUUUAGGCGAAACUGGCCAACAUUUGCAGUUAUGGAACCUGGUAAUUUAUGGCCAUUUUUCACCUUCUUUCAACUCAUAUUUCACUGUGGUUUCAGAUAUGAAAGAUGUUAAGCUCCAUGCCCUUUUUCUCACUGUUUGCAUUGCCUUCUAUUUUGGUUACAUACUUCUUCACGAUACAAGGUCUUAAAGUCCACCUGUUGGACUGUUUUUAGCUGGCCAGCAAACACCAAGUCAGACCACAAAAACGAACAACGCACACACUUUUUUACCUGGUCAUUUGUCAUGCACUUUUAGGUUCACUACUUAGUUCUUGCACCACAUUUAAGAACUUGCUUUCAACCAACCUCACCUUUUGUAUGCAUAUUGGCACAUAAAAAAACGAAGCAUUGCAAGCCCAUUAAGAGCAUUUAACCUACAAUAUUAAGCUUAGAAACGCUAUCUGCAAGAUAGAGGUUGCUGUAUUUCGAGCUAGGCAAGCGCAAAGAGGAAAAAGACGCAAUUGCAUUCCUUCCAUUUUUCACAAGUUCUUGGAAAUUUCAAAGCAUCAAGAGCAUCUUCCUUUUUAUCUCUCCACUAACCAAGAAGUAGUGGACUGUUCUCCACUGAGGUAACCUCCUUUACCCAACCUUUCGCAUGGCCAUGAAAUAUCAUGCUUGUUCUUAUUUUUUUUUUCAUGUUCACAUGCUUACUUAGCAUAUU
rnacentral:lncRNA from 1 species